GACUUUCAUUAUCUUCCAGAUAAGGUGGAAGACUUUUGUGUGUUCUGCAACAUGCUGCACUAUGACGCCAACCAGGACGUCAUCAAUAUGAUACAAUGUGACUUCUGUUCAAGAUGGACUCAUGAAGAAUGUGCCACCCACAUUGUCGACAUCUUUAAAUGUAAAAAGUGUCAGUUAAAUUACAGAGGAAAAAGAGAGACAGAGGCAAGGAAGGAAGGAGCGAACAGAU